rnacentral:rRNA from 1 species
UACGUAGGGACCAAGCGUUGUUCGGAUUUACUGGGCGUAAAGGGCGCGUAGGCGGCGUGACAAGUCACUUGUGAAAUCUCUGAGCUUAACUCAGAACGGCCAAGUGAAACUGUUGUGCUAGAGUGCAGAAGGGGCAAUCGGAAUUCUUGGUGUAGCGGUGAAAUGCGUAGAUAUCGAGAGGAACACCAGUGGCGAAGGCAGCUCGCUGGGACGGUACUGACGCUGAGACGCGAAAGCGUGGGGAGCAAACAGG